rnacentral:rRNA from 1 species
GACAGAGGUCCCGAGCGUUAGGCGGAAUCACUGGGCUUAAAGCGUGUGUAGGCGGAUCUGUAAGUACCUUGUGAAAUCCCACGGCUCAACCGUGGAACUGCUCGGUAUACUGCGGAUCUUGAGCCACCUAGGGGCAACCGGAACAAGCGGUGGAGCGGUGAAAUGCGUAGAUAUCGCUUGGAACGCCAAUGGUGAAAACAGGUUGCUGGGGGUGUGCUGACGCUGAGACACGAAAGCCAGGGGAGCAAACGGG